rnacentral:rRNA from 1 species
CAGCAGCCGCGGUAAUACGAAGGGUGCAAGCGUUAAUCGGAACUACUGGGCGUAAAGCGUGCGUAGGCGGUUUGUUAAGUCUGCUGUGAAAUCCCCGGGCUCAACCUGGGAAUGGCAGUGGAUACUGGCAAGCUAGAGUGUGUCAGAGGAUGGUGGAAUUCCCGGUGUAGCGGUGAAAUGCGUAGAGAUCGGGAGGAACAUCAGUGGCGAAGGCGGCCAUCUGGGACAACACUGACGCUGAGGCACGAAAGCGUGGGGAGCAAACAGGAUUAGAUACCCCGGUAGUCCCUGUCUCUUAUAC